rnacentral:rRNA from 1 species
GAUGAACGCUGGCGGCGUGCUUAACACAUGCAAGUCGAACGAUGAAGCCCAGCUUUCUGGGUGGAUUUGUUGGGAACGGGUGAGUAACACGUGAGUAACCUGCCCUUAUCUCUGGGUUAGGCCUGGGCGACUGGGCCGAAUACCUGCUAGGUGCUCCUACCGCCCGGUGGGUGUUGGAAAGAUUUAGCGGUUUUGGAUGGACUCGCGGCGUAUCCGCUCUUUGGUGAGGUAAUGGCUGACCAAGGCGUCGACGGGUCGCCGGCAUGGGAGGGUGACCGGCCACACUGGGACUGCGAGACGGCCCAGACUCCUACGGGAGGCAGCAGUGGGGAAUAUUGCAGAAUGGGCGCAAGCCUGAUGCAGCGACGCCGGGUGAGGGAUGACGGCCUUCGGGUUGUAAACCUCUUUCAGUAGGGAAGAAGCGAAAGUGACGGUACCUGCAGAAGAAGCACCGGCUAACUACGUG